GGAAAUAUUGGUAAAUCAUCUGCCUGCAAUGCAGGAGACCCAGGUUCAAUUCCUGG
rnacentral:tRNA from 1 species